AGGUGAUCCAACCGCACUGGGACUGAGACACGGCCCAGACUCCUACGGGAGGCAGCAGUAGGGAAUAUUGGUAAUCUGGGAAACCGGGAACCAGCAACGCCGCGUGCGCGAUGAAGGCCUUCGGGUUGUAAAGCGCUUUUAGAAGGGAUGAGGAAGGACAGUACCUUCUGAAUAAGCCUCGGCUAACUACGUGCCAGCAGCCGCGGUAAAACGUAGGAGGCGAGCGUUAUCCGGAUUUACUGGGCGUAAAGCGCGUGUAGGCGGUCUUGUAAGUUGGAUGUGAAAGCUCCUGGCUUAACUGGGAGAGGUCGUUCAAAACUGCAAGACUUGAGAGUGGUAGAGGGAGGUGGAAUUCCGGGUGUAGUGGUGAAAUGCGUAGAUAUCCGGAGGAACACCAGUGGCGAAAGCGGCCUCCUGGACCACUUCUGACGCUCAGACGCGAAAGCUAAGGUAGCAAACGGGAUUAGAGACCCCGGCAGUCUUAGCUGUAAACGAUGUGAACUUGGCGUCGGUGGGUUUAAAUCCAUCGGUGCCGAAGCAAACGCGAUAAGUUCACCGCCUGGGGACUACGGCCGCAAGGUUAAAACUCAAAGGAAUUGACGGGGCCCCGCACAAGCAGCGGAGCGUGUGGUUUAAUUCGAUGCUACACGAAGAACCUUACCAGGGUUUGACAUGUAAGUGGUAGGAAACUGAAAAGGGACCGACCCUUCGGGGAGCUAUGAG
rnacentral:rRNA from 1 species